UCCACACAUGUGAAGUGACAUCUGCCAGGUGGGGAUCAUUUGACCUUUGCUAUAAAGAAAGCAUGAGGAGAUAUGGGAAGAAUUGUCACUGCAGAGGAGGUUGAGAUUCAGGUUACUUAGGGUGCUGUUCUACUGUCCUGGUGAAAUGGACUCAGUGUUCUGGAGUAGGCUGCUUUUUCCUCAUGUUUUCUAUCAUCUCUGUGAACGAGCUUUGGAGACUCUAUGAGCUAGUUACGUUGGUGGUGACAUCUCAGAACAGGAAAACCCUGGUGGCACUACUUCCCCGUGAAGUGGUUUGGCAGUAACUCAAGUUCAGGAUCUGGCAGUGAACUUCCAUACGUGGAUUCACAGCUGGUCCCAUUCUCAACGGGAAUCCUUUCUCAGCAUGGUGUCGUGUCCUGAAGCCGCGGACGAAUGAUGAAAAGAAAAUAGAAAUCAUUGCACAUUGUGGCGAGUUAUGGUAGCCUUCCAAAGCUUCGUCUGUCCUUGGGAUGUUCACACAUGUACGUUCUUCUUCGUAUGUCUCUAGAAUGCGCUUAUGGUUUUGUCAGAGAUUAAAGAAAUCCUAAGUAGCGUCAUGCACAGAUGUCUUGAGAGGUAGGAGAGUUAUGUGUGGCAGGGAGAGGGCGAGAAUAUCUGGUCCCCAGAGUCUGUUCUGGUCCCCAGAGUCCCAACGGUGAAUGGUGGAAGGCAUUUUGAAAUCCUUGCAAGUCGUUCUUGUUGUCAAUUGCCACAUAAAUUAAGGCCAUGCAAGUGCCUUCUACUGUUUCCUCUUCCCUUUCAUUUGUUGUCCGCUCAAUAGCGAAUAUUACAGAUUUGGUGAAAUGCCUUAAAACAACUUUACGGUUUAAAUAACAACUUUUUUUUUCCCCCUCUUUCUAGGUCUGCCAGUAGCUGACAAAGUAGUAAGAUUUUGAGAAGUUCUGCAUAAAGAAGAGAUCUCAGAGAAGCAAAUUUAAAUAACAAUAAUGUCAAGAAGAGUCGUUCUGAUGGCUAUAUUCUUGAUCUGUCGUGACUAGACAGAUGAAAAUCUAUGACGGCAAUUUUGCCUUUUAGGUCAUUUUCUUUUUUCUUUUAUGUCUUUCUUUUAUUUAGGUUUGUUAAUCUUAUUUCAACAGGCUCUGUACUAAUUUUCCUCACAGAAUGACUAGCAGAAAUAGGACCCUUAAGUGCCUUUUGUAAUUAAUUCAUUAGGGCAACUCUAACCACUGAGCCCCUUGUCAGGUGAUUUCUAUUAGCGAUAAGGAGCAAUUGAACCUAAAACACUGAAGCCAGGUUGAUGAGCCUAUUCCACAAGGUCUCUUGGCUCCACACAUGUGAAGUGACAUCUGCCAGGUGGGGAUCAUUUGACCUUUGCUAUAAAGGAAGCAUGAGGAGAUAUGGGAAGAAUUGCCACUGCAGAGGAGGUUGAGGUUCAGGUUACUUAGGGUGCUGUUCUACUGUCCUGGUGAAAUAGACUCAGUGUUCUGGAGUAGGCUGCUUUUUCCUCAUGUUUUCUAUCAUCUCUGUGAACGAGCUUUGGAGACUCUAUGAGCUAGUUACGUUGGUGGUGACAUCUCAGAACAGGAAAACCCUGGUGGCACUACUUCCCCGUGAAGUGGUUUGGCAGUAACUCAAGUUCAGGAUCUGGCAGUGAAGUUCCAUACAUGGAUUCUCAGCUGGUCCCAUUCUCAACGGGAAUCCCUUCUUAGCAUGGUCCCGGCAUCCGAUUCCUGAAGGUGGUUACGUGAGUGUCAGAUAAAAGCUUUUCCAGGAAAGCAAGAUGGUAAAAGCUCACUGUUGGGCCCCUGAUAAGCGUGGAAGGGGGGAGGCUCUGCCUGGGGCAUGGAGCCUUUCCUAAGCCUUGGCUCACCUGCCACCCCCUGACAGAGCGGACAGCCUAGCAUUAGCAUGACCAAGGGCCACCCCACCAGGCACCCAUCCUCCUGCAGACCUUCUGGCUCCCUCAGCACCAUGCAUCCUUUUUAAACUUCAUAUAAGACACCUUUUUGUCCUGUAAAUAAAUUAAGCUUGGCUUGGUUAUUUAAUAAGCACCCCCUGUUGCAUGUGCAGCGUGCUUGAGUCAGUCCAGGGAAGGCUUGGGACAGUCCUGGUACUGGGCUCAUUAUUUUCUAUUUGCUGAUCGUAGGUUUUGUUACCCAGGAUAUCCUGGGGAUAUAGCCCACCUUGAUACAGACGCAUGGGGUUUUCUCUUCUAGGUAGUUUUUUCCCUGCUCCAGCUGUGUAGAAAGCCUUGUCAAGUGCUCCAGCUUCAUUUUAAUUUAUGUGUUUGUUUUAAAAAGCUGUGUACAGAAAUUACACUCACUACCUAGAACAGGAUAUUAAUUACCUUAUGUCGUCUUUGUUGGAUUUUAAGCCAUCACUUACAGAGCAGGCAGACAUUAGAAAAAUGUGUGUACACUAAAAUGCCAGAAGAAGCAGUGUAUGAAGGAGAAAUUUAGUUUUAUUUAUUGUUUAUGUUAGCAGGUAAUUCUUCCUGACUUUGCAAUUAACUUUCAGCGAUAAGCCAAGGAAAUCGUCUAAAAAGCUCUGCAGGGGAAUAAUGAUUAGUAAAUCCCAUCUAAGGAGAUUUUAAUAGAAAUAAUACAAAAUCAUAUUUAAAAUGAUCCCUCAAGGACAAGACAAAGCACAGGGAACACACACACCUUCCCCCCCCCGCCCCCAGAUUACUUGAUUUCAAGGAACAUCGGAUUAUGUCUUUAAAACGCCUCUUCCAUCUGUUUUCUAGUGUAUGAUGUUUCAUCUGUUGCUUUGAAAAGUACCAGGUUGCCCCAGUAAGAUUUUAAUCAGUGGAAAAAAUGUAGCUGUUUGCCUGUUGGUUCCUUUCCAAACAGGAGGACUUCCAAAUUAACUCUGGCAUCCUUCACAGUUUGAAACACCCUCAUGUGGUGUACAUGAAGUAGUGAAUAGCUUGCUAUUGUCAAACAGAUGACUCACAGAUGCCAGGGCUUGGCAAAGAGAAACAUGCAAACAAAGGCGAGAGAGAAGCAGAUACGAUAUUGAUAUGAGCUGACACCGAGAGUACAAAUGGCAGAAAAAGUGAGAGAAGUCAAGGUUAAAAAAUAUGUAUUAUUUGAUAGCUAUCUAAGUGUUUGAAGAGAUCUGAGGAAAUAUAGAAAGUGCAGUUGUAGUCACAGCGUUUUUCUGACUUGAUGUAAAAUGGGAAAUGAACACCGUUAUUUGGUCUACCGCACUUGAAGAAGUGAUAUUUUCAGUGCAGUAAUGUCUGCAGAGCUUUGAGAUUGAGUGUCUGAUGGUUUUAAAUGUUAAAUAAUUCCAUUAGAGUCAGGGUAAAAAUGGUAAUGAACAGCUUGGAAGAGUCUGAGUAUACUGACAUGAAAUGUUGAGCAAUUAGCUUCUCUCUGUGCAAGUGAAUCCUGCAGUUCUCUUCUCAUCAGUAGUAAAGUGACCUUUAAAAUAUGCAGAUGACACAGAAGCUGUUUCAAUAACUAUUUUGAUCUAUUGUCUGCUGAUAAAUUGCGUGUAAGGAUUUGGAAUUUACAUGGCACAGUAGAUUUGGGACUAAAACGGAAGAUUUUGAAAAACCUUAACUGGGAGCUUUUUAAUAGCAGCAGUGCAUCCUGUUGAAUUAUGAGACGUGUUAUUCCACGUAGGAAAGAGAAUGAGGCUAAGGUUACUGCAGCACUUGAUAUCAUCAACUUGUUAUCUGUUGCUUUAAGGCAAUUUGAAAAGUUCAUUGUUAUGCUUUUGUGUUCUGUGUACAGCAACCCAAGAGCCACAUGUUAAAAUUGCAAUAAAAGACAUUUGUGUGUUUGAAAUUAG